GGAGGAAGAGAGGGGUGAGAGGUGAGGCUGACAGAAGAGAGUGAGCACACAUGGUGACUUUCUCGCAUGCUGAAUGGACUCAUGCUUGAAGCUAUGUGUGCUCACUUCUCUCUCUGUCAGCCAUUUGAUCUCUCUUUCUCUCUUUCUCC
rnacentral:miRNA from 1 species